AAACAAAGCAGGGCAGGAGGGGAGGGAGAGCAAGAAAGAAGGACUUAAAGUGCCAUCUUAAAUAGCAUGCUAAUUGACCCUCAGAAACUAAAAUCACCUACAAGCACCCAGAGGGGAUCUGGGCUGACCUGUAGCUGACAAUAGAUGAUAUUGGCAAGUUUCCCACAGCCUUAAGUGUGGGUUUUGAACUGGGAUAAAUAUUCAACCUGGACUUGGAAUUGCACACUCAGUAACUGAAGCUGACACUUCCAACACUGUUAGAUGCCUGCAACAGAAAAUAAACAUUUUUUAAUAUGCAACCAUUUAUAUCCUCUGAACAAGAAACCCAUUUUACAACAAGUGGAGUACAACAAUGAGAUAACAAGCAUCAUGUACAAUGGACUUUUCAUAAACUUUACAACCCACAAAGUAGUGGACUGUUUGAAAAUUGGAGUGGGCUAUUGAAAGGUCUGCUUACUAAAUUCGGUGAUGCCCAUAAGGAUGAAGCUAUUUCCCGGCAGAAAUGCUUCCUUUGUUUGAAGCUGAAGAUCCAGAAUGGGUCCUGAUGAAUUUAGCAAGCAUUCAUUCUGGAAUCAUCUAUGUGAUGAUGUGUCUCAAUGAUUUUAAUAAUACUGUGUGGAGGAACGUUUGGGAUUCCUUUCAAGUUGAUUUGUCUUUUCUUUCCUUUUCCACAGGUUAUGCUAAUCACAUCAGACAGCUUUUUGGAGAUAACAUAUGGAAACUCUUACCUCUCAAACACCUACAAAGGAUUUUGUUCAACAACAGAGCCAUGGAUGAUUAUGAAUUUCAAUAUCCUGAGACUGCACCAACUGAGUCCAGCUGGCCAGCAUUCAACUUCAGCGCAAACCUCAGAGUCAUCAGUCUUGGAUCAUCCAGACCUGUUCAUCUGCCAAAUGACUCUAAAGAGUGACCUCUAGCGGUGGCACGUGGAACUGAAGAAUUCCCUAAUCAAGCUCCACCUGAAUUCCUGAUCAGUAGAAUCCUAACACAUAAUAAAUUUGUUGUUGUUUAACGCCUCUGAGUUUUG
rnacentral:lncRNA from 1 species